UACGUAGGGGGGCAAGCGUUGUCCGGAUUUAUUGGGCGUAAAGGGCUCGUAGGCGGUUUGUCGCGUCGGGAGUGAAAACCCAGGGCUUAACCCUGGGCUGGCUUCCGAUACGGGCAGACUAGAGGUAUGCAGGGGAGAACGGAAUUCCUGGUGUAGCGGUGAAAUGCGCAGAUAUCAGGAGGAACACCGGUGGCGAAGGCGGUUCUCUGGGCAUUACCUGACGCUGAGGAGCGAAAGUGUGGGGAGCGAACAGG
rnacentral:rRNA from 1 species